AACGCUAGCUACAGGCUUAACACAUGCAAGUCGAGGGGCAGCAUGAUUGAAGCUUGCUUCAAUUGAUGGCGACCGGCGCACGGGUGAGUAACACGUAUCCAACCUUCCGUACACUCAGGGAUAGCCUUUCGAAAGAAAGAUUAAUACCUGAUGGUAUCUUAAGCACACAUGUAAUUAAGAUUAAAGAUUUAUCGGUGUACGAUGGGGAUGCGUUCCAUUAGGUAGUAGGCGGGGUAACGGCCCACCUAGCCUACGAUGGAUAGGGGUUCUGAGAGGAAGGUCCCCCACAUUGGAACUGAGACACGGUCCAGACUCCUACGGGAGGCAGCAGUGAGGAAUAUUGGUCAAUGGACGAGAGUCUGAACCAGCCAAGUAGCGUGAAGGAUGAAGGUCCUACGGAUUGUAAACUUCUUUUAUAAGGGAAUAAAACCUCCCACGUGUGGGAGCUUGUAUGUACCUUAUGAAUAAGCAUCGGCUAACUCCGUGCCAGCAGCCGCGGUAAUACGGAGGAUGCGAGCGUUAUCCGGAUUUAUUGGGUUUAAAGGGAGCGCAGACGGGUCGUUAAGUCAGCUGUGAAAGUUUGGGGCCCAACCUUAAAAUUGCAGUUGAUACUGGCGUCCUUGAGUGCGGUUGAGGUGUGCGGAAUUCGUGGUGUAGCGGUGAAAUGCUUAGAUAUCACGAAGAACUCCGAUUG
rnacentral:rRNA from 1 species